UUCUUUUGCAAAAUUUGUGAUUGGUCCUGGCAACAACUGUUACUUUUUGGCUAUACAUGAUUGGUUGCUAAGGCCAUCUGUAAGGCAAAAAGUUCUGGUCUAUGGGAGUAAGCAUAUUUCUUGAAAGAAGGCCAAGAUGAGAACAGUGAGGCACAGUUCAAAAGUUACAUUCAAUCUGGGUAGAGCCAUGGUGUGCCUGUGUAAGCUUCAUUUCCUUAGUGGCCUCCCAGCUCCAUUUUAGAAGCCUUGACAUACGUUACUCCAUUUUGUUAUCACUGUCCAUGUGCCCAAACAGAAAUUUAUACUUUGUUUCUCUUUGCUGGCAUUGUUUUAUCUAGUCUAAUCUCUCACAGAAGCUAUUGUCAUUCAAGGGUUAUUUCUUCUUGUGGGAAUCUUCCCACUUUGCACUGCCCAAAGCUUUGUCUCUUGAAUUUGAAGCAACUGCCACCAUCAAGAUUCUAAGUCUCUUAAGUGGUACAUGGCCUCAGAGCAGCUGAGGUUUCAAUGCUCACAUAAAUCCAAUAGGGAGACAGACAUGACUACUUUGAAAGGAGGAGCAGAUCUGCACCAUAUCCAAAGCCUGUGAGUUUUUUGAAAUCCGCUAGUCGACUUUCCAUCUUAAACACUGUAUGCAAAUAAGGAUAAAGACAGCGACACUUCCCAAGAGAGGUCAGAAGUCAAGAGGAGAGAGAGAAAAAGGGUCAUCUUAAAAAUCAGUGGCAUAUUGGACUGAUUUCAUCUUUCUGUCUCAUCAGAUACUGUCACAUAUUCGUAGACACGGUCAGAGGUGUGACUUGUGACAACUAAUGGCUGUAUCUAAAGAUAGAGAUCUAGGAGCUAGCAAGUCGGAAUUUGGUUGCGUUCUGAAUCUACUCCUAACUUGCUCUGUGAUCCAAGUAAAGGCUCUCUGUGAGAUGUGUCCAAUGCCCUCCUUCCAAGAAACUGCCCAUUUCCAAAUUUAGCCCCCUGGGGAGCAGUGAAAAGAGAAUGGAACUUAGAGUCAGAAGACCCAAGUUUGGGUGAGCUCUGUGAAUAAUGUCGAAUGUGGGCUGAGGGAAUUAAAGCCCAUGUACAAUUACCUAGUCCCUCCGCCCUUCCUGGGAUGAAUGAGGACACCUUGUAAGGACAUGGCAAAGCCACCAAAGGAAAGCAGCCUGGAUGUAAGUCACUGUUUGGAGGACAAGUGAUCUGGAGGGUUGAAUGGCUCUGUGGCAGACUGUGUAAAUAAAAAAUAAAAUUUUGUUGUGUUAGGCCA
rnacentral:lncRNA from 1 species